CCGUCAGGUUGGCCCACUCGAUGACGCACCCGCUCGUCAGUCGCCAUUGUCGAGCAGGCAGAGUCCUUUAUCAUCUCUCUCCUACAACCUUCUCCACCUGCGUCCCAACCACUCACCCUACCCUCCUCCUUCCAGCACCAUCGGCAGCGAGAAUGACCUUAUUGCCUGCCGUUCCUGCACCAGUGGCAGCGUAAGUUCUCUCCUGUAACCUCCUCCGCCUGGGCUUCCCAACCACCUGCCCUACCCUCAGCACCAUCGGCAACGAGAACGACCUCAUAGCCUCCCGUUUCCUGCACCUGCUCCGCCUGCGCUCCCCAACCACUCGCCUUACCACUCUUCAACCGGGAAGUUCCUUCUUGUAGCACAGAUGGAAGUUAAGGUAGCACACAUGGAAGUUAAGGUAACUCCUAGGUGUACCCCUUGUGAAGAGUCUACUUGCUAUAGGCUCGAUGGUCGAGUUGAUGUUGAACAACCUUGCAGACCAUACCAAGAUUUUUUUUUUGUAACUAAACACCUCAUCAUGUAGAGGAUGUUAAUUAUUGUGAUUGAUGCUAUUCGUUGUUAUAAGACACCUCAGAGUUGUCGGGUUCUUACUACUUGCAUCUAAUUGUCGUUUCUUAUUCAGUUGUUAAAGUGAAUUACAUUAUACCAA